UACGUAGGGAGCAAGCGUUGUCCGGAAUCAUUGGGCGUAAAGAGCGUGUAGGCGGCUCGGUAAGUCCGCUGUAAAAGUCCAGGGCUCAACCCUGGAAAGCCGGUGGAAACUGUCGAGCUAGAGUCCGGAAGAGGCGAGUGGAAUUCCUGGUGUAGCGGUGAAAUGCGCAGAUAUCAGGAGGAACACCAAUGGCGAAGGCAGCUCGCUGGGACGGUACUGACGCUGAGACGCGAAAGCGUGGGGAGCGAACAGG
rnacentral:rRNA from 1 species